rnacentral:rRNA from 1 species
AUUGAACGCUGGCGGCACGCCUAACACAUGCAAGUCGAGCGGCAGCGCGAUAUGUAGCAAUACAUAUUGGCGGCGAGCGGCGGACGGGUGAGGAACACGUAGGAACCUACCCUCGAGUGGGGGAUAACCAAGGGAAACUUUGGCUAAUACCGCAUGAUUUCGAGAGAGCAAAGCUACCGCAAGGUGGCGCUCGAGGAGGGGCCUGCGUCCGAUUAGCUAGUUGGUGAGGUAAGAGCUCACCAAGGCGAUGAUCGGUAACUGGUCUGAGAGGACGACCAGUCACACUGGGACUGAGAUACGGCCCAGACUCCUACGGGAGGCAGCAGUGGGGAAUACUGGACAAUGGGGGCAACCCUGAUCCAGCGAUGCCGCGUGAGUGAAGAAGGCCUUCGGGUCGUAAAGCUCUUUAGGUUGGGAAGAAGAGUGAUGGAGAAAAUGCUAUCACAUUGACGGUACCGACAGAAUAAGCACCGGCAAACUCUGUGCCAGCCGCCGCGGUAA